rnacentral:lncRNA from 1 species
GGGUUCCAAAACUCACACGCCGCGGAAACAACCACCGAAAGUGGCAACCUACAUAAGCCCUUGGUGUAUCUUGCCUCCUAAGAGCGUCUCGGUGCACGUAUUUCCCUUCCAAAAAAGAAGAACGGGAAAGGAGAUGUUAAAGGCAAGCAGAGAGAGGAAAACUGUUGCAAAACAAAAGCUGAGCUCCCGUCCGAGGGAGGCCUCCUCCAUUGGAGGCCUAGGAAAUCAUUCUGACAAAAUGGAGGAUCUCUGUCUUUGGUGUCGAUUCCCUCAGAGGUCAAGAGAAACCUUUUCCAAUGUCUUUAUCAGGAGGAGACUAGAAGUUAGAGAAAAGUAUCCUUUCGGGAGUGAGAAAAACAAAUUCUGAUUUUGCAUCAGCUUCCCUCCGAUCUUGAAACUCAUUGACUUGAUUCCAUUCUGUCGACGGAAAUAAUCCGGAACCAAUCUAUCCGUGAAAAUCGGGGUGCGUUUAUUCUGAGCUAAAAUGUGAGGACUGUGGCCCGGGGCCUUUCUUCCCGAAGGAAGAGAGGGUGCCCGGGAAGUGGGGUGUACAGAGUGCUUCUAGACCCCCAGAGAGGACGUUUCACAUAGGAUCGAAAGGUCCCUUGGAUGAUAGUCGCGAGACUGCUCUGUCGGCACAGCGAUCGACAGACACUGCU